AAAGAAGAGGGCUAAGGAAAAGCUAAAAAUUCAUUGGGAUAGAUGCAGCGCCAAUUAAUUUCCGCCAAUUUCCGCGGUGAGUGCUAAGUACUUCGAUUAAGAGUUUGCAGGAUUUCUAGAAUAGGAAUAGGCUUUUUCUUUAGAGUAAGACUCUUUGCUUGCUUCUUUCGGCCAGCUCAGCGGAUGAGUGGCCGUAUUCGACACCUCUUUCUCUUACGGCUAGUGCGCUAUUUGAGAUAGUUGAAAAGGGGUGUAGCGAUAGAAAGUUUUGAAUCAAUAAUUCCUCAAAAGUCAUUGCUAGUACGUUUAAUACAGUUACUGCUAUACCUUAGGCCUCAAUUAGCAGUCGUAAGGCCGACAUGUCUUCAUCCCGAAAUAAGUAGAUGCGGAAUCUCGUCUGUUUGAAAGGUAACUUGAAUUAGCAGUCGGACUGUGAACCAUUGUCACUCGUUAGGCCUCCCAAUAUAAUUGAUUUGAAGGAGCUCCAGCCACUCUACUUCCACCGUCGUGUAGCCCUGCGGAUAAUUCGAAUACCGGAACAUCCUUCCAUCCCUCAUUCAAUCUGAUCUACCGGCUCUAAGACCGACUCAAUGGGAGGAAU
rnacentral:lncRNA from 1 species